UACGUAGGGGGCAAGCGUUGUCCGGAUUCAUUGGGCGUAAAGGGUGCGUAGGUGGUGAGGUAAGUCGGAUGUGAAAUCUCGGAGCUCAACUCCGAAAUGGCAUUGGAAACUACCUCGCUAGAGGAUCGGAGGGGAGACUGGAAUUCUCGGUGUAGCAGUGAAAUGCGUAGAUAUCGAGAGGAACACCAGUGGCGAAGGCGAGUCUCUGGACGAUUCCUGACGCUGAGGCACGAAAGCCAGGGGAGCAAACGGG
rnacentral:rRNA from 1 species